GACAAUCACUCUCAGAUGUGAGAUUCAGGGAGGUGAAGGAAAGGUGUGGAAAUAUGAAUGGACAGCACCCAACACAAACAGCCCUCCAACAUCCAGUGAAUACAGGAUCAGCAGAGUUUCAGUGUCCCACAGUGGAGACUACAGAUGUCGGGGUAGCAGUGACUAUCUCUUAACAGGAUGGAGUGAUGCCUUCAGACUGACAGUUUCAUCAAGUAAACCCAGAGCCAAACUGAAAGCAGAAAGUUCAAUCAUACCAGCAGGGGGCAGUGUGACACUGAGCUGCUCUGUGGAGGGCUCUGCUGGCUGGAAGUUUGACUGGUUCAGACGUGAUUCAGAGUUUUCUGGAGCUCAGAAAAUAGGAGCUGGAACAUCAGAGCACACUAUCAGUAUUUCAGAAAGAGGCAUCUAUUACUGCAGAGGAGGGAGAGGAGAUCCAGUUUUCUCCACAGAGGACAGUGCUCCAGUUACAAUUCAGAAACAAGUUUUGGCUGCUGUGAAUCUGCAGCACAGCUGGUCUCAGAUAUUCACUGGUGAG